GCGCUGGGCCAACUGGGUAUAUGUACGCAGGGCGAAGGUAGGUUCCUCUCCAAGAAGGCUCAACUACAGGGUUUCCAGGAGCCUUGAACAGAGCACAGGUGAAGAGAGGAUGGGUUAUGCAGGCGCCGGCCACACAGCUGUUCCCAGGGACCCUUUAGGAGCGCUUGUACCGGCCACAGGAAACAGCAAAGGAACGGCAGCUGAAUCAGGAAAAGGGGACAAUUUUGGAGAAACCAGUCAGAGAAAUGAUAAACUAUCAACACAACACAGAAUAUAGUGGGGACCAAAGGGCUGGUUCAGCCAUGUCAGGAGAGUUCAGACCAUGGGAGCGUCAGUUAUGACUGCUUUCUCAAGGAAGUAGAAUUAGAGCUUCUGGCCUUCACUGAUGAAUGGAAUAUAUAAAGUAGCCUUUUUUUUUUUUUUUGCAUUUGGAUAGAAAUUGUAAGAUGACCCCCAACAUCCUGCUGUUUGGUGUCUACACCCUGAAUACUCUCCUGUCCUUGAGUGUGGAGGGAAUUCUGAUUAAAAAGGAUGCCACUCCCAUGAUUAAGUUCUAUCGUAAGGCAAAGUUGAUGAGAUUUUGCAAAUGUAAUUAAGGGCCCAAAUCAGAUGGGACCUUAAUCAAAUGGGAGAUUAUGCUGGGCGGGCAGGACACAAUCAGUGAAAGCUUUUGACAAAGGGACUGGCCCCUCCCUCAAGAGAGAUGCUCCCCUGCUGGCCUGGAGGAAGCAACCAUGAGUUCUGCAGCCACAUGGAAAACGAAUUCUGCCCACAACCUGCGGGAGCUUGGCAGCAGACCUUUUCCCAUGAAUCCUCUAAAGAAAAAGCGUUUUGGCUGAUAUUUUGAGCACAGUCUUGUGAGACUCUGAGCAAAGAACCUGGCUAAGCUAUGCCUCGCUUCCUGUCCCACAGAAAUCAUGAGAUAAUAAAUGCGAAUUGCUAAGUUUGUGAUAAUUUUUUAUGUAACGGUGGAAAUCAAAUACAACAACUAUUCCACUAGAUUCUCCAAUUUAUACCUAAAAACUCACCUACACCUACCAUUUGGGGCUUCGCAAGUCACUGUUCUCUGUGGCAUCCUUUGCUGUCUGAGCUGUUCGGAGGCAGGGGGAAAGGAGUCACUGUCAAUCAAAUUUUGUGAAGAGUGAGCACUCUCCACUGGUAGAGGAGAAAGCUGCUGGCCCAGAGGAGAUCCUACAGAACACGGUAGAGAUUUGCCAGCAUCCCUGAGAAUCACAAACUCCAUCGUUGUAAGAGACCACCAAGCUCAUGAUCUGAUUCUCUCAAUUAGACCCCCAGAGGCUCCUGGUGGUACAGCUAGCUCCUGCAAGAGCUGAGAGAGGAGCCCAAGUCUUCUGACAGCCAGGCCAGUGUUCUUGACACUAACUUGACCUCCACUGAGUCAAGGCAAGGUUCCACCCAAUAAACCAUGAUCAUUAUAGUCUCAACUCCAUGGCAUCUUACUAAAGUUCAAAAGAGCAACAUGAGAAAUUAUCCAGUUUUCUCUGCCUUUAUCACAGAGGCAGGUUUUUUUUUUUUUUUUUCAUGAUAAAUUAGUAGUAACUCUCAGGCACAUUUGGCAAGCCAAAGAAAAAUGGAUUUUUUACAAUGCAUUGAAUAAACAUCUUCUGCUUGAAUAUCUCCUAUACUUCACUGACUUCAAUACAGUAGAAGUUUAUUGACGUA
rnacentral:lncRNA from 1 species